AUACUUUUUUUCAAAACUCCUACAUUCUCAACCCUUCCUUUUAGGUCAAUGUUUAGUAUGCAUCUGUGUGACUGUGUUUGAUAGUGUUUAAUCAACACGCCUAUUAGGGUAAUGAUCCUACAACUUCUUUUCAAGUGAGUGCAAGUUGUUUGGCAGUAGGCCAGAUCAAUUCAUUGGUUUACAGUGAUCAGAAGUUGAUGGCACAGUGAUUGUGAAGACGAUUCACUCGCACCAGUUACACUUUUUAAAAUGUUAUGUAGAAAGAGAGUUAGCUAAUGUUACUUUGGUAGAACUGGCUAUGCUUUUCCAUUGGGAUUUUUUUAAAGUGUGAUAUUAACUGUGCUAAAUAGCCUUAUUUAAAAACAGUUUGUGUUGAGGCACUUGCUACAUAAUUGGCUCUCUCUUGGCUUCACCCUCCCAUGGUGAAUUGGUCAAGAAAGCUUUUCUCAGUGUCAAUUGCUAUGGUUACAGGGGGACCCAGACAGGGUUGAGCCCAGGAGUCUCUUGAGUUGCCUAGGCCUUUAUCUAGUGAGAACUCAAUCUUUCCACAUGGUCUUUUGUAAGGUUUGUCCCUAGGGUAAAAAUGACCUGAAAAACUUUUGCAUGUGAACAAAUGAUGUGAGUGCCUCCGAAACCCGAUAGGUACAGCUGUAAGAUUAGUCAGGAUAAACCAAUGCACUGUUUUCCCAAUAAAUAUCCAUGUCGAUCCUGCUCAGGGAAACUGGUCACCCCCCCCUGGAGGUCGUAAGUUAACACAAACUCAGAUGCCUGUUUUCACUCAUUACCUGUUUAUUUUUUUUGCACUUGUACUUUAUUAGUGCAAGUGUACAAGUUGCGCAUGUAAAAGCAGUGUGUGCGUGUUUGUGUGUGUGUCUUUGUCAGUAAUGAAUGUGGGCUGGUCUGGGAACAAUGCGGGCCCGUUGGUCGCCAUAGGGACGGCUAGUUCCCCCUAGCUCAGUGGGAGUGGUGAUGGCAGUGGCUAGGUCACUGCAUUCACAUGUGCUGAGGUUCUUUCCACCUCGUUCUGUGAUCUGAGUUGUGCACCUCAACAUAUCGAGGCAGAUUAGAGAAAUACUAGAGAAGGCUCCUCACAGGCCCUUUUUUUACUUCUCUUCCUAACGAUGGAACACUUAACAGGACAGGAACCAGACACUUUCGAAUCAGGACGUAAUCAGAGCGGAAAUUGUGCAAAUGUAGAUGCUCGGCCAGCAGGAGUGUUGGACAACAGGAGGGUUGGUGACCGGAGACACACAGCAACCUUUACAGGAUUAAACAAGACAGGAGGUGGGAAGGAAGGAAGGAACCCCACCAAAGGAAGGAAGGAAGAUGAACUUAUCUGGUGGAUUUGGUGAUCUACUUGUUUGCUAGUUCCUCUGUGUGAACGUGGUCUCUAAACCGGACUUUUCUGUUCUUAACUCUUUU